rnacentral:rRNA from 1 species
AUUAGCGGAUGACUUGUGGCUGGGGGUGAAAGGCCAAUCAAACCGGGAGAUAGCUGGUUCUCCCCGAAAGCUAUUUAGGUAGCGCCUCGUGAAUUCAUCUCCGGGGGUAGAGCACUGUUUCGGCAAGGGGGUCAUCCCGACUUACCAACCCGAUGCAAACUGCGAAUACCGGAGAAUGUUAUCACGGGAGACACACGGCGGGUGCUAACGUCCGUCGUGAAGAGGGAAACAACCCAGACCGCCAGCUAAGGUCCCAAAGUCAUGGUUAAGUGGGAAACGAUGUGGGAAGGCCCAGACAGCCAGGAUGUUGGCUUAGAAGCAGCCAUCAUUUAAAGAAAGCGUAAUAGCUCACUGGUCGAGUCGGCCUGCGCGGAAGAUGUAACGGGGCUAAACCAUGCACCGAAGCUGCGGCAGCGACACUAUGUGUUGUUGGGUAGGGGAGCGUUCUGUAAGCCUGUGAAGGUGGCCUGUGAGGG